GGGAAUGUGGCUCAGUGGUAGAGUGCUUGCUUAGUAUGCAUGAAGCCCUGGUUCAAUUCCUCAGUACCA
rnacentral:tRNA from 1 species